CAGCAGCCGCGGGAAAACAGAGGGUGCGAGCGUUAAUCGGAUUUACUGGGCGUAAAGCGUGCGUAGGCGGCUUUUUAAGUCGGAUGUGAAAUCCCUGAGCUUAACUUAGGAAUUGCAUUCGAUACUGGGAAGCUAGAGUAUGGGAGAGGAUGGUAGAAUUCCAGGUGUAGCGGUGAAAUGCGUAGAGAUCUGGAGGAAUACCGAUGGCGAAGGCAGCCAUCUGGCCUAAUACUGACGCUGAGGUACGAAAGCAUGGGGAGCAAACAGGAUUAGAUACCCCCGUAGUCCCUGUCUCUUAUAC
rnacentral:rRNA from 1 species